GAUGAACGCUGGCGGCGUGCCUAAUACAUGCAAGUCGAGCGAAUGGAUUAAGAGCUUGCUCUUAUGAAGUUAGCGGCGGACGGGUGAGUAACACGUGGGUAACCUGCCCAUAAGACUGGGAUAACUCCGGGAAACCGGGGCUAAUACCGGAUAACAUUUUGAACAGCAUGGUUCGAAAUUGAAAGGCGGCUUCGGCUGUCACUUAUGGAUGGACCCGCGUCGCAUUAGCAAGUUGGUGAGGUAACGGCUCACCAAGGCAACGAUGCGUAGCCGACCUGAGAGGGUGAUCGGCCACACUGGGACUGAGACACGACCCAGACUCCUACGGGAGGCAGCAGUAGGGAAUCUUCCGCAAUGGACGAAAGUCUGACGGAGCAACGCCGCGUGAGUGAUGAAGGCUUUCGGGUCGUAAAACUCUGUUGUUAGGGAAGAACAAGUGCUAGUUGAAUAAGCUGGCACCUUGACGGUACCUAACCAGAAAGCCACGGCUAACUACGUGCCAGCCGCCGCCGUAA
rnacentral:rRNA from 1 species